GAUGAACGCUAGCGGCAGGCUUAACACAUGCAAGUCGAGGGGUAUAGAGUGCUUGCACUUUAGAGACCGGCGCACGGGUGCGUAACGCGUAUGCAAUCUGCCUUUCACAGGGGAAUAGCCCGGAGAAAUCCGGAUUAAUGCCCCAUGGUAUAUAGGAAUCGCAUGGUUUUUAUAUUAAAGAUUUAUCGGUGAAAGAUGAGCAUGCGUCCCAUUAGCUAGAUGGUAAGGUAACGGCUUACCAUGGCUACGAUGGGUAGGGGUCCUGAGAGGGAGAUCCCCCACACUGGUACUGAGACACGGACCAGACUCCUACGGGAGGCAGCAGUGAGGAAUAUUGGACAAUGGGCGCAAGCCUGAUCCAGCCAUGCCGCGUGCAGGAUGACGGUCCUAUGGAUUGUAAACUGCUUUUAUACGGGAAGAAACCCUGGAACGUGUUCCAGACUGACGGUACCGUAAGAAUAAGGAUCGGCUAACUCCGUGC
rnacentral:rRNA from 1 species